UGGGGAAUAUUGGACAAUGGGCGCAAGCCUGAUCCAGCCAUGCCGCGUGAGUGAUGAAGGCCUUAGGGUUGUAAAGCUCUUUCGGCGGGGACGAUAAUGACGGUACCCGCAGAAGAAGCCCCGGCUAACUUCGUGCCAGCAGCCGCGGUAAUACGAAGGGGGCUAGCGUUGCUCGGAAUCACUGGGCGUAAAGUCGCGUAGGCGGACAUUUAAGUCGGGGGUGAAAGCCCAGGGCUCAACCCUGGAAUUGCCUCCGAUACUGGGUGUCUCGAGACCGGAAGAGGUGAGUGGAACUGCGAGUGUAGAGGUGAAAUUCGUAGAUAUUCGCAAGAACACCAGUGGCGAAGGCGGCUCACUGGUCCGGUUCUGACGCUGAGGCGCGAAAGCGUGGGGAGCAAACAGGAUUAGAUACCCUGGUAGUCCACGCCGUAAACGAUGGAUGCUAGCCGUUGGCAGGCUUGCCUGUCAGUGGCGCAGCUAACGCUUUAAGCAUCCCGCCUGGGGAGUACGGCCGCAAGGUUAAAACUUAAAUGAAUUGACGGGGUCAUAGCUGUUCCU
rnacentral:rRNA from 1 species